rnacentral:lncRNA from 1 species
UCAGGUCAUGCAAAAGAAGCUGCAUGCCAGCCACAGAUGCAGAGUGUUUUCAGACUUCUUCCCAAAUCUUUGUGCUAAAUGGGUUGAAGUAGAUUUGGUUUGUACUUCUCAGAGAGGAUUCAAUGUGACAUGUUAUGGGAAGCUCUGGCAGAAAUAUGUGGUAAGUAGGUCACAACAGCUCUGUUGAUUAGCAUAUUGGUGAUUUAAAACCACAGUAUCAGUUAUAAAGUG